CAGCAGGUUCGGGUCGAACGCAGUGAGACAACGGAGCCGCUUGCGGCGAGGCCCGAAGGGCGAGGCGAAGCCGAGUCAUCCUGCACGACCCACCA
rnacentral:sRNA from 1 species